GGGACACGUGGUAUCCUGUCUGAAUAUGGGGGGACCAUCCUCCAAGGCUAAAUACUCCUGACUGACCGAUAGUGAACCAGUACCGUGAGGGAAAGGCGAAAAGAACCCCGGCGAGGGGAGUGAAAAAGAACCUGAAACCGUGUACGUACAAGCAGUGGGAGCACGCUUAGGCGUGUGACUGCGUACCUUUUGUAUAAUGGGUCAGCGACUUAUAUUCUGUAGCAAGGUUAACCGAAUAGGGGAGCCGAAGGGAAACCGAGUCUUAACUGGGCGUUAAGUUGCAGGGUAUAGACCCGAAACCCGGUGAUCUAGCCAUGGGCAGGUUGAAGGUUGGGUAACACUAACUGGAGGACCGAACCGACUAAUGUUGAAAAAUUAGCGGAUGACUUGUGGCUGGGGGUGAAAGGCCAAUCAAACCGGGAGAUAGCUGGUUCUCCCCGAAAGCUAUUUAGGUAGCGCCUCGUGAAUUCAUCUCCGGGGGUAGAGCACUGUUUCGGCAAGGGGGUCAUCCCGACUUACCAACCCGAUGCAAACUGCGAAUACCGGAGAAUGUUAUCACGGGAGACACACGGCGGGUGCUAACGUCCGUCGUGAAGAGGGAAACAACCCAGACCGCCAGCUAAGGUCCCAAAGUCAUGGUUAAGUGGGAAACGAUGUGGGAAGGCCCAGACAGCCAGGAUGUUGGCUUAGAAGCAGCCAUCAUUUAAAGAAAGCGUAAUAGCUCACUGGUCGAGUCGGCCUGCGCGGAAGAUGUAACGGGGCUAAACCAUGCACCGAAGCUGCGGCAGCGACGCUGAUGCGUUGUUGGGUAGGGGAGCGUUCUGUAAGCCUGCGAAGGUGUGCUGUGAGGCAUGCUGGAGGUAUCAGAAGUGCGAAUGCUGACAUAAGUAACGAUAAAGCGGGUGAAAAGCCCGCUCGCCGGAAGACCAAGGGUUCCUGUCCAACGUUAAUCGGGGCAGGGUGAGUCGACCCCUAAGGCGAGGCCGAAAGGCGUAGUCGAUGGGAAACAGGUUAAUAUUCCUGUACUUGGUGUUACUGCGAAGGGGGGACGGAGAAGGCUAUGUUGGCCGGGCGACGGUUGUCCCGGUUUAAGCGUGUAGGCUGGUUUUCCAGGCAAAUCCGGAAAAUCAAGGCUGAGGCGUGAUGACGAGGCACUACGGUGCUGAAGCAACAAAUGCCCUGCUUCCAGGAAAAGCCUCUAAGCAUCAGGUAACAUCAAAUCGUACCCCAAACCGACACAGGUGGUCAGGUAGAGAAUACCAAGGCGCUUGAGAGAACUCGGGUGAAGGAACUAGGCAAAAUGGUGCCGUAACUUCGGGAGAAGG
rnacentral:rRNA from 1 species